rnacentral:rRNA from 1 species
UACGAAGGGGGCUAGCGUUGUUCGGAAUUACUGGGCGUAAAGCGCGCGCAGGCGGUCUUCCAAGUCAGUGGUGAAAGCCCGGAGCUCAACUCCGGAACUGCCAUUGAAACUGUUAGACUUGAGGAUGAGAGAGGUGAGUGGAAUUCCCAGUGUAGAGGUGAAAUUCGUAGAGAUCGGGAAGAACAUCGGUGGCGAAAGCGCUCUACUGGACGGUGACUGACACUCAGGGACGAAAGCUAGGGGAGCGAAUGGG